ACCCAUGGACCAUAAAAAUAGAUUUUUUUGAAAUCUCUGGUUCAUUUGCUUAAAACACCCUCUCUCUAGAAAACUUGUUCUUCAGAGUUCUCUCCUCAAUUUCUUCACACUGAACCAUUCAAUCUUUGAAAAAGGUGUUCAGGUGUUCCCAGCGUAGAGGACUUCGAAACCUACUGAUCAAUUUCCCUUUUCUUCAACUGGUGAUUCUAGUCUUCCUUGAAGUGAAAUUUAGCGUUUAGGGGUUUCCUGUGUCUUGAGCUGUUCGACUGAGAGAGGUAGGAGAGGUGUCAUUGGAGCAAGCUUUGGAGGGAGAUGAUGCAACCCCUAGCUUUUAGGCUUCUUCCUAAAUGUUGUCUUUAUUUUGAAAUACUCUUAUUUUGUAAAGUUUUAAAUUUCUGACCUCUUGUAGGAUGACUGUAAAUCCUAUACUUCAUUAUAAAAGUUCUAUUUUUUGUUUUAUAAUUCCAUAUGUAUUCUUAAACUA